rnacentral:rRNA from 1 species
UUGGUUAAGUCAGGCAACGAGCGAGAUCCGCACCUUUAUUUGCCACCAAGAAGUCACGACUUCGUUGGGAACACUAAAGGGACCGCCGUCGAUAAGACGGAGGAAGGAGCGGGCAAAGGCAGGUCAGUAUGCCCCGAAACCCCUGGGCUACACGCGGGCUGCAAUGGUAUGAACAAUGGGCUGUGACUCCGAAAGGAGAAACCAAUCCCGAAAUCAUAUCUCAGUUGGAAUUGUCGGCUGUAACCCGCCGACAUGAACGCGGAAUCCCUAGUAAUCGUGUGUCAUCAUCGCACGAUGAAUACGUCCCUGCUCCUUGCACA